UACGUAGGUGGCAAGCGUUGUCCGGAUUUACUGGGCGUAAAGCGCGCGUAGGCGGUUUGGAAAGUCCGUGGUGAAAUCUCCUGGCUCAACCAGGAGGGGUCUGCGGAUACUCCCAGACUUGAGUGCCGUAGAGGAAGAUGGAAUUCCAGGUGUAGCGGUGAAAUGCGUAGAUAUCUGGAGGAAUACCGGUGGCGAAGGCGGCAUCCUGGACCGGCAUUGACGCUGAGGAGCGAAAGCCAGGGGAGCAAACGGG
rnacentral:rRNA from 1 species